GGCAGCAGUGCCAGUGUUAUGGCUUCCCGGGUAAAAAUAAAUUAUACAUGAAAAAAGACCACCAGACUUCACCGUCAAUCGCAUCACCAGCGACAAUCAGAAAUACAGCCAGACUCUAAAGGCAUUUCCACUUAGUAUCUCCAAGCAGCUGUGGGACAUCAUUGGAGACCCACCAACACAAGAUAAGUAUCAAACUUUAAAAAACACUAUCCUUGAACGCUUCUCUGAGUCGAGACAAACCCAGUUACAGAAAUUGCUGAAAGAAAUGACACUUGGCGACAGGAAACCCUCGCAACUUCUCCGAGAAAUGUGCGAUCUGGCAAAAAACAGCAAUGACAGAUGAAGCAUUGUACCAGCUGUGGAAAGGACGCCUUCCGGCAUGGGUACGUCCAUACCUAACAAUGUCAAACAACUUUGAGGAUCUCAACAGUCUAGCAGAAAUGGCAGACUGUAUUUUGCUUCACGCUAGCAGCAGUCACGUCAUGGCCAUCCACCCGCGUGACACAACGCACACAAAUCACCAUUCAUCGAGCUUAUCAUAAGUCGAAUGCCAGCUCUACGAGAUUAACCUCACUCUCAAAACCUGUCAACAGGAUAUAAGCUGCCUGCAAGCGAACCAGCAGAAAAUCCAGGCACAGUUACAACACACACUACAACAACCAAAACAAUUACACACCAGUUUUCAACUACAAACCCAUCAACAUCAACAAUAUGGACAGCACUUCUAUAGACAUCAUCCAAGAACCAGCCGUGCAAAUUCACGUCCUCACCACCAGGUAAACAGGGAAAUUAGACCCGCAAUUAGACCCUAAUUGGGGCAGUUGGUGACAGCGGCUGCAAACUGUCACCCAAAGAACUCCGCCUGCACAUUCAUGACUUUACUACUAAUCAAAAAUUUUUGAUAGACUCUGAGUCCGUGGUGUCUGUAAUCCCAGCAAAAUACUUAAAAACAAACAACUAACAAAGGACCCGCUCACACUGUAUGCAGCGAACACAUCAGCGAUUCAAAUUUACGGCUGUAAAACUCUCAAGAUCGAUCUCAAUCUACACAGAACUUUCUCUUAGUCAUUCAUUAUCACGGAUAUACAAACUGCGAUAAUCGGGGCGGAUUUUUUGACGCACUUCAACCUACUCAUCGACCUGAAAAAUCAACGGCUGAUAGAUCCUCUUACCUCACUCUCGACAAAAGGAGAAACUUUGACUAGCUACACCUACAAUAUAUCAACCAUCGACUCAACUUUACCUCCGGCGUACGACAGCUCAGACAACUGGAGUACAUCUCUCAAUUUUCCACGGACGUAGUCUACGUGAAAGGCGAGGACAAUGUAGUCGCAAACGCUUUAUCACGCAUAAACACCAUAGAGAUACCAACCGUACUCAGCCCAGUAACCAUAUACAAUGAACAACUCAAUGAUGAAGAAUUACCAGAUCUGAUCCAGAACUCAACAUCAUUGCAUCUUCAAGAACUAGAGAUCAAACAAGGCGUAAAAAUCUUCGCAGACAUCUCAUCAGGGGUCGUAAAACCGUACAUUCCAGCUUCACUACGCAGAUCCGAAUUCAACACAAUUCACAGUUCAGCACAUCCCAGUGGUAGGACCACCUCAAAUCUGCUCCGUGAAAAAUUUUCCUGGCCGGGCAUCCGCAAAGACGCAACACAAUGGGCUCAAGAGUGUCUUGCUUGCCCAAGAGCAAAAAUUCACCGUCAUACUAAACUCCAACCGAACCACAUCGAAGUUCUGACUCCAGAUUCAACCAUCUACACGUUGACAUUAUUAUACUACCAAACGUCUAAGGUUAUCAAUAUUGCUUAACCAUGAUUGACCGUUUCUCAAGAUGGCCGGAAGCAAUUCCUAUCAAAGACAUGGCCGCAGACACAGUGGCAACGACAUUGUUCAAUCACUGGAUCUCUCGCUAUGGCUCCCCUAUCACCAUUACAUCAGACCAAGGAAUUCAAUUCGAAUCUGCGUUAUUCCAAGCUCUCACUCAACUCGUCGGAGCUAAGAAAACCCGCAUGAUAGCAUACCACUUUCAGUCAAAUGGCAUCGUCGAACGUAUGGACAAAAUCUUGAAAGCAGCACUCAUGUGCUCACCGAAACCUUGGAUUGACAUACUUCCAACUGUACUACUUGGUCUAAGAACAUCAAUCAAGGAAGACAGACUACUCCAGCAGAGAUGUUAUACGGAAAAUGCCUGAGAAUACCUGGAGAGUUCUUCGUCUCAUCGGAUCUACCAUCUGAUCCACAAAUAUUCGUCGAGAAACAUCGAGAAUAUAUGCGUGGCAUCCGUCUAACACCUACAGCACACCACGACAAAUCUUGUGUCUUCACACUGAAAGACCUCAAGGACUGCUCACAUGUCUGGUUACGCUGUGACCACGUUAAAGCUCCGCUGGAGCCUCGGUGUCAAGGCCCGAGAGUCGUAGAACGACUCUCCGAUAGACUGUUUUAAAUAAAUGUCGAUAAAGAAGAAAAAAACGUCUCUAUUGACCGACUAAAACCCUGCGAUAUUAAUAAGACUGACCAAGACUACGUUGAAGAACCAUCGUCAAAGUCUCAUCAACUCGAGCCACAUCAUUGGGACUCACCUAUGGACAAGCCGUCUCGCACUUAUAGUCGCACCGUGACUUUUAAACCACCCGCCAAAAGCCACUCGGGGGGUAAAUGGUUGUGGCGGACUCGUAGCCUCGCUCACGCCUCUACUGCCGAGUUCACCAACGAAAGCCACCAAGACGCCACCCUACCGACCGAAAUAAAAACACACCAUGGAGAAUAGAGACUCUGUCUCUAUUCUCCAUGAAACACACCUAAUGAAAACACACUAGCGCCAAACACAACACACAUAUACACCAGCACAUACACUCCGUCGCUACAGCUCUAGCAUCAUUACAUUCUUCACCCGACAAGUGCAAUUAUAAAAACCCUAGUGAAAUAUUUAAUUAAAUAAUAUAUUGUACAACAUCGGCCAAAAAUUCUUGCGUGGUAGUAUAGAAUCGGGAAAACAGAUUUGUCUCUAAAUAAAAAUCUGUCUAACUAGUUUUCUACAAAUCACAAAGUAUAGAUACAAGGAGUCCGAACGUAAUGUGAAAAGCAUGGAGAAUAGAGACAAGGAGCCCGAACUUAUGAUUUACGAGUAGCAUGGAAGACGAGACGCCGGCGAGCAGUUCUAUUAUAGAUGUCAUCCUUAUAGCGUAGGCUGUAAUCAUUGUGGAAAGGGAGAAAAAUAAUUUUGAACACUUUUGUUGCACAGAGUGUCGGUUAGUUUAGGCAAAACUACCUCUUGGACGGGUGGACUGUAUUUUUUUCAUUUUUAUUAUUGUACAUUGAGCUAAAAUAAUCCCGAUAAUGUACGGCUCAAUUGAACCGCUUAUAUCAAUUACUGAAAAUGUAUUACACUGCAAUAUCAAUGAGAAUUUUUACACUUUUCAACAAUUAAUUGAGGAUGUAGAUAAUAUUCCGAAACCAUCGAAAACUUGGUUUAUCUUUAAAUUCGAAAAACUCCUACUGUUCAUGGAAAUAUUACCCAAUAUAUAUAGUGAACGGAAAAAAAUUAUUAUCACUGAUUCAAUGAAAGUGAAAUAUUACUAUAAAACUAAACCAAUUACUUGGCUUAAGAGUGGAGAAAUAAGUAGCAUCGAAGAUGUUAAGCGAGUAAUCGACCUAUACGAUUUUCUUGUAUUUCCUGAAAAUUUAGUAGACUAAUAGUAACCUUACUAAACAUAUCCAUAAUUUAUCGAUACACUGAGAAAAAAAAAUACUAUUUUCCAAACAAGAAUUUCUUGGUUCAAGAAACCCGUUAAAAAUAUUCAUUUUAUUAUUAUUAAUUAUCAAUUUCUUGAGAAAAGAGCAUCAAAUUUAUUUUUCUUAUUAUAUGAAUUUGAUAUUAUAUUAUGAGUAAACAAAAGAAUAGCUUUACUUGAAUUAAAUAAAAAUUAUUUCCUUCAAUUCUACGAAUUCUUGAGACAAAAUUAUAUAUUCUUGAAAAUUAUCAA